rnacentral:rRNA from 1 species
GAAUUUUAUAUAAAUUUGUUAUGUUUUAUAUUAUGAAUAGGUAUGUAAUAAUUUUAUAUUUUAUUGGGAGGAUAAAUAAAUUAAAAAAACUUUAAUAAAUAAAAAUCCAUUAAUUUAUGAAUUUAAAUUAAAUGAGUGAUUAAAUAAGUUUUAGAAGAAUUAAUUACCUUAGGGAUAACAGCGUAAUAUUUUUAGAGAGAUCUUAUUAAUAAAAAUGAUUGC